GACACCUCGCGCGAGAUUUCCCGGAAGCCAUUGCCCUAGCAAGAGCGUUGGGUCGCCUGGCAACCGCACCAAGGCUGCAGAGGAACGAGGCACUGAGGAAAUUUACAAACCUGACUUCCAGACUCAGUUCCUCCCGCAAGGGGAGAGGUGCCUUCAGGGAAGAAGUCUGGGGGGCUGAAGAAACCAUAAAGCCACGUUUCUCAAACUUGUCUGCCAAAAGUUGAGCAUAAAACAAUAGUUAAACCUGCUUCCUGACAUGGUAUCAGAACAGAGCUACUGCUGAGAGUUUGACUUAUAGAGAAAUCAUGGUUCGACUAACCUUGGAUCUAAUUGCCAAAAGUAACAAUCUUAAACCCCGAAAAGAAGAAACCACUUCACGAUACCUGAAGAAAAUAACUCAUCUAAAUUUUUCAGACAAAAAUAUAGAUACAAUUGGAGACCUCUCUCCUUGCAAAAGUCUUAGUGUUUUAUACUUGUAUGAUAACCAUAUUAGUGAAAUCACUAACUUGAAUUAUGCUACAAAUCUGACCCACCUGUACCUACAAAACAAUUGUAUUUCAUGUAUAGAGAACCUCAGGUCAUUAAAGAAACUGGAAAAACUGUACCUGGGAAGCAAUUAUAUUGCUGUCAUAGAAGGUUUAGAAGGAUUAGAAGGACUAAGAGAGCUUCAUGUUGAGAGUCAGAGGCUUCCCCUUGGAGAAAAGCUUCUGUUUGAUCCAAGAACUCUUCAUUCUCUGGGAAAAUCCCUCUCUAUAUUGAAUAUCAGCAAUAAUAAUAUUGAUGACAUAAGAGACUUAGAAAUACUGGAGAAUCUUAAUCAGCUCAUAGCAGUUGACAACCAACUUCUGCAUGUGAAGUGCCUCCACCCCUCACCAACAGAAAGAAGUUUCUCUGAGAAGAAAGAUUUGGAAUUUUUACUGAACAAGUUGAUGAAGCUGUGGAAAAUGGAUCUAAAUGGAAAUCCUGUUUGUCUCAAACCCAAAUACAGAGACAGACUGAUACUGGUGUCCAAAUCACUGGAAUUUCUUGAUGGAAAAGAAAUUAAAAAUAUAGAAAGACAAUUCCUAAUAAAUUGGAAAGCAUCCAAAGAUGCCAAGAAAAUCAGCAAGAAAAAGAACAGUAAAAACGAGGAUGCAAGUAACUCAUACAUAAGUAACUUUGAAACAAUCCAUCACAUAGUUCCUGUUUAUUACCCACAGGUGGGUAAGCCAAAAUUAGUCUUUUUCCCUGAUAUACCAAGAAACCUUGCAAAUGGAAAUUCAUCCUCAGAAAGCUCCCAAGAAGAUAAACCUAAAAUUGCUGAAGAUAUGGGGAAUUAGGACUACUCUAGAAUCAUCAGAGGAUUCAGAGAGGCUGCUUAGAGUAGCAGCAGAUAUGACCAGGUGGCCCACAGUGGAAUCCCUCUUUGAAGGAAUGUGAAAGCUUGCUGACAAAAAAAUGAUAUAUAUGAAUUUCACCUUCUCCAUAACCCAAAAGAAAAUGUUUGUAAAAAAAAAAAAAAGUAAAUUCGUCCUUAAGUGUUCUUUAACAUUUGUUUGUUUGUUUGUUUUUUACCUUUACAGUACUAGGCAAUAGCAUCUUCUGCAAUUUGUAGCUUUAUGGUAUCUCAUUAUGUAAAGAAAAUGAAAAUUGCUUUUCAAUUGCUUUAUGCCUCAUCACAGACAAUUUACUGAGAAAAUAAAGAUGUGCU